GCCGACAGGCGUAGUCGAAUGGAUGAACGGGUGGAUAUUCCCGUACCGACCAUGGACCGGCAAAACCGAGACGGUGAGUACUAACCUCCGCCUCGUGGUGGUUCCUUCCUUCGGGUUGGUUCCGCCGCGUGGUGUUGGGAGCGUAGCCGUAGUAGGUCAGCGCAGGGGUGACACGGAAUGGGAGCCGGCCGCGGAGGUGGUUUUCCGUGGUCAAGCACGCAGCCAGUCAUGUAGGCAAAUCCGCAUGGCGUGCAUGGCGAGGUGUGAUGAUGGGAGCCGUUAUGGCUCGAUAUCCGGUUGUCCAGGCCGUCGAGAAAAGCCUCGGCGUGAGGGCCAUGGCCGCCCGUACCCCAAACCGACACUGGUGGUCAGGUAGAGAAUACCAAGGCGAUCGAGCGAAUCCUGGUCAAGGAACUCGGCAAAUCACUCCCGUGCCUUCGGUAUAAGGGAGACCCGCUGGGGUGAACCGGCUAGCCCGGGGAGCUUUGGUGGGUGGCACAGACCAGGGGGUAGCGACUGUUUACCAAAAACACAGGUGCAUGCGAAGGCGAAAGCCGCUGUAUAUGCACUGACGCCUGCCCGGUGCCGGAAGGUUAAGAGGAUCCGUCAAUCCCUUCGGGGACGAAGCGGUGAAUUCAAGCCCCGGUAAACGGCGGUGGUAACUAUAACCAUCCUAAGGUAGCGAAAUUCCUUGUCGGGUAAGUUCCGACCUGCACGAAUGGCGUAACGACUUCCCCACUGUCUCGACCAGGAGCUCGGCGAAAUUGCAGUACGAGUAAAGAUGCUCGUUAAGCGCAGAAGGACGAAAAGACCCCGGGACCUUUACUAUACCUUGGUAUUGGCGUUAGGCGCGGAUUGUGUAGCAUAGGCGGGAGGCUUCGAAGCGGGUGCGCCAGCAUUCGUGGAGCCGCAAGGUGAAAUACCGCUCUGUUCUCGUUUGACGUCUAACCUCGACAAGUCAUCCUUGUCAGGGACAGUGCCUGGCGGGUAGUUUAACUGGGGCGGUUGCCUCCCAAAGAGUAACGGAGGCGCUCAAAGGUCCGCUCAGCCCGGUUGGCAAUCGGGUGUCGAGUGUAAUCGCACAAGCGGGCUUGACUGCGAGGACGACGGUCCGAGCAGGGACGAAAGUCGGAGAUAGUGAUCCGGUGCCGGCGCACGGGCGCGGCAUCGCUCAACGGAUAAAAGGUACCCCGGGGAUAACAGGCUGAUCAUUCCCAAGAGUCCAUAUCGACGGGAUGGUUUGGCACCUCGAUGUCGGCUCGUCGCAUCCUGGGGCUGGAGCAGGUCCCAAGGGUUCGGCUGUUCGCCGAUUAAAGCGGCACGCGAGCUGGGUUCAGAACGUCGUGAGACAGUUUGGUCUCUAUCCUCUGCGCUCGUUGGAAUCCUGAGGAGGCCUGCCCAUAGUACGAGAGGACCUGGGUGGACGAACCUCUGGUAUGCCGGUUGUCGCGCCAGCGGCACGGCCGGUUGGCUACGUUCGGGAGGGAUAACCGCUGAAAGCAUCUAAGCGGGAAGCCUGCUCCAAGAUUAGGAUUCCAUGGAUCUUCGAGAUCCUGUAGCCCGCAUGUUGAACACGUGUUUGAUAGGCCGGAGGUGGAAGCCCCGUGAGGGGUGGAGCCGACCGGUACUAACGGGCGAUGGCGACACAA
rnacentral:rRNA from 1 species